rnacentral:rRNA from 1 species
GGCCAGACUCCUACGGGAGGCAGCAGUGGGGAAUAUUGCGCAAUGGGCGAAAGCCUGACGCAGCGACGCCGCGUGAGGGAUGAAGGUCUUCGGAUCGUAAACCUCUGUCAGCAGGGAAGAACGGUCACUGUGCUAAUCAGCAGUGAAUUGACGGUACCUGCAAAGGAAGCACCGGCUAACUCCGUGCCAGCAGCCGCGGUAAUACGGAGGAUGCGAGCGUUAUCCGGAUUUAUUGGGUUUAAAGGGUGCGUAGGGGGUUCUUUAAGUCGGGGGUAAAAUGGGGGGCCUCACCCCCUUCCCGCCAUUGAAACUGGCGAUCUUGAGUGGAAGAGAAGUAUGCGGAAUGCGUGGUGUAGCGGUGAAAUGCAUAGAUAUCACGCAGAACCCCGAUUGCGAAGGCAGCAUGCCGGCUUCCGACUGACGCUGAAGCACGAAAGCGUGGGGAUCGAACAGGAUUAGAUACCCGGGUACAG